ACGCUGGCGGCGUGCUUAACACAUGCAAGUCGAACGAGGUGAUUGAAAGCUUGCUUUUGAGAACCGAGUGGCAAACGGGUGAGUAACGCGUAGACAACCUGCCGCAAAGAUGGGGACAACAGUCCGAAAGGACUGCUAAUACCGAAUGUUGUCAAGUUUCCGCAUGGAAGCUUGAUUAAAGAUGGCCUCUACUUGUAAGCUAUCGCUUUGUGAUGGGUCUGCGUCUGAUUAGCUAGUUGGUGGGGUAACGGCCUACCAAGGCGACGAUCAGUAGGGGUUCUGAGAGGAAGGUCCCCCCACAUUGGAACUGAGACACGGUCCAAACUCC
rnacentral:rRNA from 1 species